rnacentral:rRNA from 1 species
GUUUGAUCAUGGCUCAGAUUGAACGCUGGCGGCAGGCUUAACACAUGCAAGUCGAGCGGGGGAAGGUAGCUUGCUACUGGACCUAGCGGCGGACGGGUGAGUAAUGCUUAGGAAUCUGCCUAUUAGUGGGGGACAACAUCUCGAAAGGGAUGCUAAUACCGCAUACGUCCUACGGGAGAAAGCAGGGGAUCUUCGGACCUUGCGCUAAUAGAUGAGCCUAAGUCGGAUUAGCUAGUUGGUGGGGUAAAGGCCUACCAAGGCGACGAUCUGUAGCGGGUCUGAGAGGAUGAUCCGCCACACUGGGACUGAGACACGGCCCAGACUCCUACGGGAGGCAGCAGUGGGGAAUAUUGGACAAUGGGGGGAACCCUGAUCCAGCCAUGCCGCGUGUGUGAAGAAGGCCUUAUGGUUGUAAAGCACUUUAAGCGAGGAGGAGGCUACUUUAGUUAAUACCUAGAGAUAGUGGACGUUACUCGCAGAAUAAGCACCGGCUAACUCUGUGCCAGCAGCCGCGGUAAUACAGAGGGUGCGAGCGUUAAUCGGAUUUACUGGGCGUAAAGCGUGCGUAGGCGGCUUAUUAAGUCGGAUGUGAAAUCCCCGAGCUUAACUUGGGAAUUGCAUUCGAUACUGGUGAGCUAGAGUAUGGGAGAGGAUGGUAGAAUUCCAGGUGUAGCGGUGAAAUGCGUAGAGAUCUGGAGGAAUACCGAUGGCGAAGGCAGCCAUCUGGCCUAAUACUGACGCUGAGGUACGAAAGCAUGGGGAGCAAACAGGAUUAGAUACCCUGGUAGUCCAUGCCGUAAACGAUGUCUACUAGCCGUUGGGGCCUUUGAGGCUUUAGUGGCGCAGCUAACGCGAU